GGACUGUGGCUCAGUGGCAGAGCGCUUGUCUUGCAAAUGUAAGGCACUGGGUUCGAUCCUCAGCACCA
rnacentral:tRNA from 1 species